rnacentral:rRNA from 1 species
UACGUAGGGUGCAAGCGUUGUCCGGAAUCAUUGGGCGUAAAGAGCGUGUAGGCGGCUCGAUUAGUCCGCUGUAAAAGUCCAGGGCUCAACCCUGGGAUGCCGGUGGAAACUGUCGGGCUAGAGUCCGGGAGAGGCGAGUGGAAUUCCUGGUGUAGCGGUGAAAUGCGCAGAUAUCAGGAGGAACACCGGUGGCGAAGGCGGGUCUCUGGGCCGAAACUGACGCUGAGGAGCGAAAGCGUGGGGAGCGAACAGG